rnacentral:rRNA from 1 species
CCUACGGGAGACAGCAGUGAGGAAUAUUGGUCAAUGGGCGGAAGCCUGAACCAGCCAAGUCGCGUGAGGGAAUAAGGCCCUACGGGUCGUAAACUUCUUUUAUAUGGGAAUAAAACGUUCCACGUGUGGGAUUUUGUAUGUACCAUAUUAAUAAGGAUCGGCUAACUCCGUGCCAGCAGCCGCGGUAAUACGGAGGAUCCGAGCGUUAUCCGGAUUUAUUGGGUUUAAAGGGAGCGUAGGUGGAUUGUUAAGUCAGUUGUGAAAGUUUGCGGCUCAACCGUAAAAUUGCAGUUGAAACUGGCAGUCUUGAGUACAGUAGAGGUGGGUGGAAUUCGUGGUGUAGCGGUGAAAUGCUUAGAUAUCACGAAGAACUCCGAUUGCGAAGGCAGCUCACUGGACUGCAACUGACACUGAUGCUCGAAAGUGUGGGUAUCAAACAGGAUUAGAUACCCCAGUAGUC